AGAGUUUGAUCCUGGCUCAGGACGAACGCUGGCGGCGUGCCCAAUACAUGCAUGUCGAGCGGACCGGGCGGGAGCUUGCUUCCGCCUGGUUAGCGGCGGACGGGUGAGUAACACGUGGGUAACCUGCCCGUAAGACCGGGAUAACCCCGGGAAACCGGGGCUAAUACCGGAUAACACCGAAGACCGCAUGGUCUUCGGUUGAAAGGCGGCUUCGGCUGCCACUUACGGAUGGGCCCGCGGCGCAUUAGCUAGUUGGUGAGGUAACGGCUCACCAAGGCGACGAUGCGUAGCCGGCCUGAGAGGGUGACCGGCCACACUGGGACUGAGACACGGCCCAGACUCCUACGGGAGGCAGCAGUAGGGAAUCUUCCGCAAUGGACGAAAGUCUGACGGAGCGACGCCGCGUGAGCGAAGAAGGUCUUCGGAUCGUAAAGCUCUGUUGUUAGGGAAGAAGAAGUACCGUU
rnacentral:rRNA from 1 species